rnacentral:rRNA from 1 species
AUUGAACGCUGGCGGCAGGCUUAACACAUGCAAGUCGAACGAGUGGCGGACGGGUGAGUAAUGCAUGGGGAUCUGGCUUAUGGAGGGGGAUAACUACGGGAAACUGUAGCUAAUACCGCGUACCAUAGGAUGAAACAAAAUGGGAUUAGGUAGUUGGUGGGGUAAAGGCUCACCAAGCCGACGAUCCCUAGCUGGUCUGAGAGGAUGACCAGCCACACUGGGACUGAGACACGGCCCAGACUCCUACGGGAGGCAGCAGUGGGGAAUAUUGCGCAAUGGGGGCAACCUGACGCAGCCAUGCCGCGUGAAUGAAGAAGGCCUUCGGGUUGUAAAGUUCUUUCGGUAGCGAGGCGUUAACUACAGAAGAAGCACCGGCUAACUCCGUGCCAGCAGCCGCGGUAAUUC